rnacentral:rRNA from 1 species
GAGUUUGAUCCUGGCUCAGAUUGAACGCUGGCGGCAGGCCUAACACAUGCAAGUCGAACGGUAAUAGGAAGAAGCUUGCUUCUUUGCUGACGAGUGGCGGACGGGUGAGUAAUGUCUGGGAAACUGCCUGAUGGAGGGGGAUAACUACUGGAAACGGUAGCUAAUACCGCAUAGCGUCGCAAGACCAAAGAGGGGGACCUUCGGGCCUCUUGCCAUCGGAUGUGCCCAGAUGGGAUUAGCUAGUAGGUGGGGUAACGGCUCACCUAGGCGACGAUCCCUAGCUGGUCUGAGAGGAUGACCAGCCACACUGGAACUGAGACACGGUCCAGACUCCUACGGGAGGCAGCAGUGGGGAAUAUUGCACAAUGGGCGCAAGCCUGAUGCAGCCAUGCCGCGUGUAUGAAGAAGGCCUUCGGGUUGUAAAGUACUUUCAGCGGGGAGGAAGGGAGUAAAGUUAAUACCUUUGCUCAUUGACGUUACCCGCAGAAGAAGCACCGGCUAACUCCGUGCCAGCAGCCGCGGCAAUACGGAGGGUGC